AGCGAACGCUGGCGGUAGGCUUAACACAUGCCAGUCGAACGGCAGCACAGUAAGAGCUUGCUAUUAUGGGUGGCGAGUGGCGGACGGGUGAGGAAUACAUCGGAAUCUACUUUUUCGUGGGGGAUAACGUAGGGAAACUUACGCUAAUACCGCAUACGACCUACGGGUGAAAGCAGGGGAUUUUCGGACCUUGUGCGAUUGAAUGAGCCGAUGUCGGAUUAGCUAGUUGGCGGGGUAAAGGCCCACCAAGGCGACGAUCCUUAGCUGGUCUGAGAGGAUGAUCAACCACACUGGAACUGAGACACAGUCCAGACUCCUACGGUAGGCAGCAGUGGGGAAUAUUGGGCGAUGGGCGCAAGCCUGAUCCAGCCAUACCGCGUGGGUGAAGAAGGCCUUCGGGUUGUAAAGCCCUUUUGUUGGGAAAGAAGAGCAGCAGGUUAAUACCCCGCUGUUCUGACGGUACCCAAAGAAUAAGCACCGGCUAACUUCGUG
rnacentral:rRNA from 1 species